rnacentral:rRNA from 1 species
UACAGAGGGGGCAAGCGUUAUUCGGAAUUAUUGGGCGUAAAGGGCGCGUAGGCGGCUUGGCAAGUGGAAGGUGAAAUCCCUCGGCUUAACCGAGGAACUGCCCUCCAAACUGCUUCGCUUGAGACCGGGAGAGGUGAGUGGAAUUCCCAGUGUAGCGGUGAAAUGCGUAGAUAUUGGGAGGAACACCAGUGGCGAAGGCGGCUCACUGGACCGGUACUGACGCGGAUGCGCGAAAGCGUGGGGAGCAAACGGG